CAGUCGCCGCGGGAAUACGGAGGGUGCAAGCGUUAAUCGGAAUUACUGGGCGUAAAGCGCACGCAGGCGGUUUGUUAAGUCAGAUGUGAAAUCCCAGGGCUCAACCUGGGAACUGCAUUUGAAACUGGCAAGCUAGAGUCUCGUAGAGGGGGGUAGAAUUCCAGGUGUAGCGGUGAAAUGCGUAGAGAUCUGGAGGAAUACCGGUGGCGAAGGCGGCCCCCUGGACGAAGACUGACGCUCAGGUGCGAAAGCGUGGGGAGCAAACAGGAUUAGAUACCCCUGUAGUCCCUGUCUCUUAUAC
rnacentral:rRNA from 1 species